rnacentral:tmRNA from 1 species
GGGGGCGUAAAGGUUUCGACAGGGAUCUUGAAGUAUCGGAAGCGAGCAGCGGUGCGGAACCGCUAUAAAAUCCGUAAAAAAAUUAACUAACAACAAUAAAGUUGCUUUAGCAGCCUAAUUUAGGCUGCUCAUCCGACCCGAGAGUACCGCGGCUCGGCAAGGGUGUCAUUUCAGCGGUGAAAGUGAACAGGGAAGUGCUCCUGUCCCUGUCACGGAUUCGGAGCUACCGAACACAUGAGUUUGACAUUUAACGCCUGUGUUAGGGAAUUUAAAGAAAUGUCUGCGCUCGGAGAUGCCGAUACGGAUUGAUUUUUGGACAUGGGUUCGACUCCCAUCGCCUCCACCA